rfam:Peptoniphilus sp. ING2-D1G genome assembly, chromosome: I
AUACACAUUGUUAACUAACCGCAGACAGUAGGGAGCCUAUGCUUUAAUAAUCCUACCGAGGUAAGCAAUCGAGAAUUAUAUCGAAUUUCUUAAUCUCAUCCUGUCUGCGAUGAGAUUUUUUUAUUUGGGGG